rnacentral:rRNA from 1 species
AACGAACGCUGGCGGCAUGCCUAACACAUGCAAGUCGAACGAAGCCUUCGGGCUUAGUGGCGCACGGGUGCGUAACGCGUGGGAAUCUGCCCUUGGGUUCGGAAUAACAGUUAGAAAUGACUGCUAAUACCGGAUGAUGUCUUCGGACCAAAGAUUUAUCGCCCAAGGAUGAGCCCGCGUAGGAUUAGGUAGUUGGUGGGGUAAUGGCCCACCAAGCCGACGAUCCUUAGCUGGUCUGAGAGGAUGAUCAGCCACACUGGGACUGAGACACGGCCCAGACUCCUACGGGAGGCAGCAGUGGGGAAUAUUGGACAAUGGGCGAAAGCCUGAUCCAGCAAUGCCGCGUGAGUGAUGAAGGCCUUAGGGUUGUAAAGCCCUUUUACCCGGGAUGAUAAUGACAGUACCGGGAGAAUAAGCUCCGGCUAACUCCGUGCCAGCCGCCGCCGUAA